UCAUAUGUACAUGCUUAUAUUGUUAAUUCACCUAAUCCCAUUAGAAAUUUGUAGUUAGGUGCGAUUGGGAUAGAGUAGUACUGGGGUGGGUGACCUCCCAAGAAGUCCUAGUGUUUGAC
rfam:Picea glauca, whole genome shotgun sequence.